rnacentral:sRNA from 15 species
GGACCAGUCUCCUGUAGGCCUUCUUGACAAUGGCCUCAUCAGCGCCCCUCUCCACCUCGAGCACUCCAUAGUGGUCGGCCAGGCCGGUAUGGGCCAUGGCGGGGGUGGCUCGGGCGAUGGGGUCGCGCG